GCCCCUAUAGCUCAGCUGGUAGAGCAAAUGAUUUGUAAUCAUUAGGUCCGCGGUUCGAGUCCGUGUGGGGGCACCA
rnacentral:tRNA from 1 species